UACGGGGGGGGCAAGCGUUGUCCGGAAUUACUGGGCGUAAAGGGUUCGUAGGUGGCCAACUAAGUCAGACGUGAAAUCCCUCAGCUUAACUGGGGAACUGCGUCUGAUACUGGUCUGGCUUGAGUGCAGGAGAGGAACGCGGAAUUCCAGGUGUAGCGGUGAAAUGCGUAGAUAUCUGGAGGAGCACCGGUGGCGAAGGCGGCCAUCUGGACCGUAUCUGACGCUGAGGCGCGAAAGCGUGGGGAGCAAACAGG
rnacentral:rRNA from 1 species